AUACGUAGGUGACAAGCGUUAUCCGGAUUUACUGGGCGUAAAGGGCGUGUAGGCGGUCUUGCAAGUCAGAAGUGAAAUUCCUGAGCUCAACUCGGGCGCUGCUUCUGAAACUGCAGGACUUGAGUGCUGGAGGGGAUAGCGGAAUUCCUAGUGGAGCGGUAAAAUGCGCAGAUAUUAGGGAGAACACCGGAGGCGUAGGCGGAGUUCAGGACAUUAGCUGAAGCUGAGAGGCGAAAGCGUGGGGAGCAGACAUGAGUAGAGACCCGGGUCGUCCACGCCGUGAACGAUGAAGACUAUUUGUAGUGGGUAUCGACUCCCUCUGUGCCGCAGUUAACACAAUAAGUAUUACGCCUGGGGAGUACGGCCUCAAGGUUGAUGCUCAAAGGAAUUGACGGGG
rnacentral:rRNA from 1 species